GACGAACGCUGGCGGCGCGCUUAACACAUGCAAGUCGAACGGAAAGGCCUGCUUUCCCUUGUGGAUUGCGGGUACUCGAGUGGCGAACGGGUGAGUAACACGUGAGUGAUCUGCCCCCAACUUGGGUAUAAGCCUGGGAAACUGGGUCUAAUUCCCGAUAGGACUGCAGGGUGGUGCCUGUGGUGGAAAACGAUUUUCUAGUGGUUGGGGAUGAGCUCGCGGCCUAUCAGCUUGUUGGUGGGGUAAUGGCCUACCAAGGCGGCGACGGGUAGCCGGCCUGAGAGGGUGGACGGCGACAUUGGGACGGGGAUACGGCCCAGACUCCUACGGGAGGCAGCAGUGGGGAAUAUUGCACAAUGGGCGGAAGCCUGAUGCAGCGACGCCGCGUGGGGGAUGACGGCCUUCGGGUUGUAAACUCCUUUCGACCGCGAGGAAGCCACCUGGUUGGAAGGGUGGUGACGGUAGUGGUAGAAGAAGCACCGGCUAACUACGUG
rnacentral:rRNA from 1 species